ensembl:lncRNA
GUUAAGGAGAGCUUGGAAUACAAAAAUGCGCACCGGUUAUUCCACUCCUGCUGUUCCCCUCUCCUGACUCCGGCGCAUUGCGAUGGAGCGUGGAAAGAGAUUCCCCUAAGUGACUGUGCUGAAAUUCCACUGCCAUACAUUGGCUGUAGAAGAAGACUGAUUGAAUCCCAGGUGAGGUCCAGAGCGGCCCGUCACCCAAGCCUGCGUUGGUAACGUCAGCAUGCACGGGAUCAUCAGAACCAAAUGAGGCCUUCAGCGCUCUGUCUCGCUCUAUUCCCCGCUGCCCCAUCACAAUCUGGCUCCAUCCUGUGCAGCUGAUCAUCCAGAGGUUGGGGUCAUCUCUCUGUGUAUGUCUGUGUGUGUUUCAGAGUUUGAGGGGGUCGGGAUAUGCAUGUGAUCAAAUGCCUCUAUGUGGUUUAUGUGUGUGUGUGUGUGUGUGUGUGUGUGUGUGUGUGUGUGUGUGUGUGUGUGUGUGUGUGUGUGUGUGUGUGUGUGUGUGUGUGUGUCGUUCGUGCGUGAUUGUCCUUGUCUUUUGUGUGUCUCUUUUUUUGUGAUUGUGUGUUUGCAUGGAAAGACCACACAAACACAGAUUGCACCCACAGGAGAAACUGAAAGCUGGACACAAUGAGGAGCAAACAGCAUCUGCAACUGAAGUGAUGAUGACUUUCCAGCUGCUGCAUGUGUCCAAAAAACUGGUGCAUCUCCCCCCAAAAAGACAAUAUAACAGUGAAAUAUUCCUUGACACUCGGUGGA